rnacentral:lncRNA from 1 species
AAAGGUCAAAGUAGCAUAAUGAAAUAAAGUGUACGUUGGCUCCUAAAUCCAGAAAGAUCCACCAAACAUUCUUUUGCACUGGUAGGUGGUUUAAGGUACAGCACCUUAUCCUUCAUUUUGGAGGGGCUAUCCAGACAUGCUCCAGACCAUUAGUCCCCCAGAAACUUCACUGAGGUGGCAUGCCCCUAAAUUUUGAUGGGGAUUAUCUCCCACUCUCUGGUUUGCACGCUGAUUACUAAGGCAUCUAAAGUACAGUUAUUUCCUACUCAUCAGAUCAGAUACCAUCAGCAUAAUGUCAUCAAUGCAGUGGACCAGUGUGACAUGGGGAACAUAAAGAUGGUCACGAUUUUUGCAGACUCCAUAUGCAAAGUAUUAUAGGCUUCAGGAUAAGCCUCCCACAACUACCACUCCCAGUUUGGACUAAUAGCACCAGGAAGAAAGAAGAGUAAAAGUAGAGGCUGUCAGUAAGGACAAGAUUAGUGUAUGCAGAAGAGCUCCACAGAGAAGGCAAAUAUGUGUGUGGUGGAUUUCAAACGUACCUGCAAAUCCUUUGCCAUUCUUCCCAUCAAGAGGAAUCAAAUUCCCGUCCCUUUGUAUUUUUUGUUUUUUAAGACAGAGUCUCACUCUUGUCACCCAGGCUGGAGUGCAGUGGCAGGAUCUCAGCUCACUGCAACCUCCGCCUCCCAGAUUCAAACAAUUCUCCUGCCUCAGCCUCCCGAGUAGCUAGGAUUACAGCCACGCGCCACCAUGCCCGGCUAAUUUUGUAUUUUUAGUAGAGACAGGGUUUCACCGUGUUAGCCAGG